AUUGAACGCUGGCGGCAGGCCUAACACAUGCAAGUCGAGCGAGCGGCGGACGGGUGAGUAAUGUCUGGGAAACUGCCUGAUGGAGGGGGAUAACUACUGGAAACGGUAGCUAAUACCGCAUACCAUCAGAUGUGCCCAGAUGGGAUUAGCUAUUGGGUGGGGUAAUGGCUCACCUAGGCGACGCUCCCUAGCUGGUCUGAGAGGGUGACCAGCCACACUGGAACUGGGACACGGUCCAGACUCCUACGGGAGGCAGCAGUGGGGAAUAUUGCACAAUGGGGGAAAGCCUGAUGCGGCCAUGCCGCGUGUGUGAAGAAGGCCUUCGGGUUGUAAAGCACGUUCAGCGAGGAGGCGUUACUCGCAGAAGAAGCACCGGCUAACUCCGUGCCAGCAGCCGCGGUAAUUC
rnacentral:rRNA from 1 species